CUGGACAUCCAUUUGUUGGAUGCACUUGAUAUGUCAUGUUAAUGGUUGGACCUAGCCAGGAUUUUCAAUGGAGGCGCCGCACGCCUGCUGAAGAAAAGUCUGGGGCAAAACCCAAUGCUAGAAGUUGUUUGGAGAAACAAUUGGUUAUGAACCUACCCAUGGAUGCACUAGAGUUAGUCAAGCCACACUCGGACCCGAAUACAGUCCGUGUGGAUUCUAGUACCCACUAAGAAAUUAAUGUAAUUCCUCGAGUUGGAGGUAGAGGCUACCAAUUUGCAAAAAAUAGUGAGAGGACCUUUAGACUAAAAUCCAUGUCUUCAGGAUUAAAAAAAUAAUUCAUAUACUAAUAGACUAAUGUUUUCUCCUUUCAGUUAUGGCCAACACCGUUCGUUGUUGGAUAG
rnacentral:lncRNA from 1 species